UACGUAGGGGGCGAGCGUUGUCCGGAUUUAUUGGGCGUAAAGAGCGCGUAGGCGGCCAGAUAAGUCCGGUGUGAAAGUCACAGGCUCAACCUGUGAAUGCCGCUGGAAACUGUCUGGCUAGAGUCCGGAAGGGGCGAGUGGAAUUCCUGGUGUAGCGGUGAAAUGCGCAGAUAUCAGGAGGAACACCGGUGGCGAAGGCGGGUCUCUGGGCAGUAACUGACGCUGAGGAGCGAAAGCGUGGGGAGCGAACAGG
rnacentral:rRNA from 1 species